CUUUACUGCAACUUGACGUUGGAACUUGGCUGUAUUUGUGUAGGAUAGGUGGGAGACUUUGAAGCAGGGCCGCCAGGUCUUGCGGAGUCGUCGUUGAAAUACCACCCUGGUGCUGACGAGUUUCUAACCGUGUCCGUAAGCCGGACAUGAGACAGCGUCUGGUGGGCAGUUUGACUGGGGCGGUCGCCUCCUAAAAAGUAACGGAGGCAUUCAAAGGUCCCCUCAGCGUAGUCGGUAAUCACGCGCAGAGUACAAACGCAUAAGGGGGCUUAACUGCGAGACCGACAGGUCGAGCAGGUACGAAAGUAGGAGUUAGUGAUCCCGCGGUUUAGCGUGGAAUUGCCGUUGCUCAAUGGAUAAAAAGUA
rnacentral:rRNA from 1 species